rnacentral:rRNA from 1 species
AGUGAACGCUGGCGGUAGGCCUAACACAUGCAAGUCGAACGGCAGCACAGUAAGAGCUUGCUCUUACGGGUGGGAAUGGCCGGCGGGGGGGGGAAUACAUCGAAUUCUCCUUUUUGGGGGGGGAUAAGGUAGGAAACCUUACGCUAAUACGCCAUAGAACCUAGGGGGAAAGCCAGGGAAUCUUGGACCCUUCGCGGAUGGAAUAGCCGAUGUCGGAUUAGCUAGUUGGCGGGGUAAAGGCCCACCAAGGCGACGAUCCGUAGCUGGUCUGAGAGGAUGAUCAGCCACACUGGAACUGAGACACGGUCCAGACUCCUACGGGAGGCAGCAGUGGGGAAUAUUGGACAAUGGGCGCAAGCCUGAUCCAGCCAUACCGCGUGGGUGAAGAAGGCCUUCGGGUUGUAAAGCCCUUUUGUUGGGAAAGAAAAGCAGCAGGUUAAUACCCCGCUGUUCUGACGGUACCCAAAGAAUAAGCACCGGCUAACUUCGUG